UGGAUGAUUUGGGUUACACAGAUUAAAAUAUCGCAAUGCGGAUUCUCUUUGGAAUCUUGUUAUGUGGCUGUUUUCCCAUAGACUUGUAUUUUGCAGGGCGGAGGCUUGCAAAUAUACCAGUGUUUUCUGACAUCACUUAGGAAAACAAGGGCUUUUUAAAUAACUCUAUCCACCCAGUCUCUUCCCUCCUUUCCAUUAGGUGGAACACUUUCAUUUUAUCCUAAAAGUCCCUUCCAAGAUUUUUUCACAAAGUAUUUGGCCAUCCAGCCUCACCACUCAGGAGUUGUGAUAGACCAUUUGCAUUACAUCAUACAACUCCAAACCUACGAUGGUGUAUCUCACAUUUUCCCCUCUACCGACCAAAGAGUCAGGAUUUCGGCAGUUACGCGUCACAAGAAUCAUGACCUGUUCUAGUCCAGAAACAGUUUAAGAAAUGGUUGUGCUUUACAAAUUUAAGAAUUCCCUCCAGAUAUGUUUAUGUUUGCACAUGAUAUCAAUUUAUUUGUUAAUUUAGGCUGAAGAACCAUCAAGUAGAUGCAGAGAGAGGGGAAAGGAAGGUCGUGAGGCUGGUUUAUGACUUCCAGGAAAGAGGAAACAUGACUGAAAAGAGAAGGUUAUGAGAUCUUCAUGAUUCAAAUAUCUCAGAGAGGAUGGAGACAGUGGGGUGACUCUACCUGUUUUGAUGAUAUGUUUUAUAUUUUCCUGUGGAAUGCCCUUUUCUUCAGCCAACUUUGCCAACUGCUGCUCUUUUUCCCCUGUCACGCUGUGUCUUUGUCCUGUAUUUCAUGGAAGACAAGUGGAAUAAAUCUGUCUUAGGAUGCAAAGUAUCCCCUGGCCCACGCUGUGCUGGUGUAACCUGCAACUACCUGAACUACCAUGCCCGCACGUAAGUGACACCAGAUGAAGACCCGCAUUGAACAUCACAUCAUGUUCCAGUUCUUAGGACUUCUGCAGACAAGCACCUCAGCGUCCCCAAAUCCAACCCAAUCUCCAAGACCAGGGCUUGCUGAGGGUCUUACCUGCGAGGUGG
rnacentral:lncRNA from 1 species